GGCAAAGCUUAAUUUUUUUCCCCUUAAUUUUUCCUUUUCUAGUUCUUACAUGUAUUUGAAGACUUCCAUGCUACUUCCUUACUUUGCUUUCUUCUUUCUGUUUUUGUAUUUUUCCCACUAUUUUCCCCUUUUUUUCACACCGCCUUUUCAUUUGUGUGGUUUGGGAUCUCAUGGAGCUCCAGUCUUAGCUUGCCCAACUAAUUUUUGUUGUGCCUGCUUCUUGGCAUGUUGAGGAUUUUGCGAGUUUUCUUUUUUAUUUGAUUUUUGAAACUGUUGUUAUGAAUUGUAUGAGUAAUUGUGUAUAAUCCUUUUCAUAAAGAAAAGGGAAGGGUUAUGCCUACUACAGUGAGUAUCAGAAAUUAGAUCUGUGUUUUAAGUAUGAACUGAAAGCUUUCAAUUUGGUGUUAGUAACAUCCCUUAUCUCUUUAUAUGGUUUAGUGAUUUUAGUAACUCGUAAUUUCCAUUUUCCAUUUUCCAUUUCUCCUUCUUCUUCUUAAUUCUCUUGUAUAACCAACCCAAACCUUGAUGAUCUUGGUUGCUAUAGUCUCAUAGGUGAUGUUGGAAUAGUUUUAUUUUUCUAUGAUAAUUUACUGAGAGUUAAAAUUUGUCCAAUUUUUGGAGAUAAUAAAUUUAUUUAAGGGUUAAUGCAGAUAAUUAACUGAAGUGUUGAAGCCAAUUUAUAUCCUGGUGCAAUAAUUUCGACACUUCAAAUUACAGAGACAAUUGGAUACUUACUUUCUCCUUGCUCACAUGUGCUCUGUCAAGCUUAAAGAAUGGACGCUUGUCCUGCUUACUCUGUUAAGAAGUUCUAAGGUACGCUUGGAUUCAUUGACAUGAUUGCAACAGCAACGGUGUUAAAAUAAAUGGUGUUUUUUGACUUAUUCAGACAUGAUGUUUGGCUGUGAAAAGCAUGCAGCACCACACUGCAGACUCAUUCAAGAUUUAUUGGAAGAGAAAAACUUUGCAAUGAUGGAAGAUAUAUGAAGGUGAAUGCAGACUUCAUCUUUGCUCGAUAUACAUCAUGUUUUCAUGCUGACAAAGUUAUAUGUUCGAGUGAUUUCCUUCACGUGGAUCUACUUGAAAGAUCUGAUGGGUUUUAUUCAAACAUAUGGACCAUGGUUAACCAUGGUUUUCAUCACAAGUCAUUUUUCUGGUGCUAAUCUCAUGAAUAUGCCAUAGUUUGUGUGGUCAGACAAGUGCAUAUAUUUUUGAGUUGUGGAUAAUUCUCUUCAUUUUUCCAUCCAAAUUUUGUAA